rnacentral:rRNA from 1 species
GAUGAACGCUGGCGGCGUGCUUAACACAUGCAAGUCGAACGAAGCACUUUAAUCGAUUUCUUCGGAUUGAAAUUUUAGUGACUGAGUGGCGGACGGGUGAGUAACGCGUGGGUAACCUGCCUCACACAGGGGGAUAACAGUUGGAAACGGCUGCUAAUACCGCAUAAGCGCACAGUACCGCAUGGUACGGUGUGAAAAACUCCGGUGGUGUGAGAUGGACCCGCGUCUGAUUAGCUAGUUGGCAGGGUAACGGCCUACCAAGGCGACGAUCAGUAGCCGACCUGCGAGGGUGACCGGCCACAUUGGGACUGAGACACGGCACAAACUCCUACGGGAGGCAGCAGUGAGGAAUAUUGCACAAUGGGGGAAACCCUGAUGCAGCGACGCCGCGUGAGCGAAGAAGUAUUUCGGUAUGUAAAGCUCUAUCAGCAGGGAAGAAGAAAUGACGGUACCUGACUAAGAAGCACCGGCUAAAUACGUGCCAGCCGCCGCGGUAA